CCCCCACGGUACGAAUAGCGAGAGAAUAGAAAUUUCGAGAUAGAAGUACCCAUAAUAUAUACCGUGAGUUUCGUGUUUCGAGUUCGGAGUAUGGCUGACAGAAUUUAAAUCAGUCUGGGCCGUAGUACGUUGAGCACGUCAAACGCCGAAGUUUAUAAAUCGCAUUUACGGCAUCCUUUGUGUUAACUAUUUGCUCGCCGAACUUUGACGUGUAUAACCAGCGCCUCGUGAGCAGCACGCUGAUAAUAAAAGGAACUCGAUCCAAAACUGGGCCCAACAAUCGUUCGCGAUAACGAGGAUAACUCACUUCAACCGAUGCGCGAAACAAAAGCUGCACGUGAUAUCGGCGUCCGCCAUCCGAAAAUUCGGUCUCCCUCGUAUAUUUUACCUCCGAAAGAGCUG